AAGGCACACAGUCAGUGGCUUACAAGGUUUCACAGCAUUAAAAUGGCUGUUGACAUGAGAAACUGGCCUGCAUCCAUAGUUCAAUAGCAAACAUUUUUUUAAAAGUAAUUGAAAUAGCUUUUUUAAAUAACCCCCCCCCCCAAAAGACACUGUACCGUGUUAAGAAAACCCAAAUGAGUGUGUGGAUUAAAGCCUUUCUUGUCUCUCGUGUUUGCGGUGGCUAAAAAUAAAUUCGAGCACUGAGUGUACUUGACUACAAGUGUUUCCUGUUUGUAAAUGUAGUAGGGGUUUUUUUACAACGUACAUAUCUUUCAUGGGCUCUGGUCUCAUUGAAAAACAUAUAUAGAAGGUAAGCUUUACCACAAGACUAUGGGGAAUUCUGUUGUACUAUACUGACGUCCAUUGAAAAAAGAUUACAUGAAAACAAAUUAGAGGAAUUGAAUUACAGUCAUGUAAUUCUCCGGUAUAACGUGAACCUCCCAGAUCCCCAAAAUACAACCAAUGUUUGCUAUAGUCGCUAAGCUAUUGCAUUCAAGUAGAGAUGAGGGGUCCAUAGGGAACUGGUGUAAAUAUGUAUUUGUAAACUUACAACCUACAGCUAGCACCAUUCUAUGUAGCCAUUGCUACUCAGAGAUCACCGUGUUUCACUGCUAGCUAGUGCCAUUGCUUACAUGAAAGAGUGGGUGGUCCCCACUGACAGAGGGGUGGGGAUAUUAAAAUACCGGGUUCAAAGGUUCAUUGGUUGGCUUAAACAAAGUCAGCCUUCUACAUAGAAAGAAAGUCCUUGUUCAGAUUCACCCAUUUCAAGAGGGAAGCACCUGAAAUCUCAUUUCCACCAAAAACCACUCAUCAAGUAAAUGUGACUGUCUGAAAAUAUUCAACUAGUGCACUAGAGUUUCCUCAUUCGACCACAUAUUUGCUAUAUAUAUAUAUACAUGUGGGUUCAUAUUUUUCACAAAAGGCUUCGUUGAUGGAUAGUGAUUCCAUGACUGCAAUAGAGCCUAUAACCCAUAAAAAGCAUUGAUAUGUGUUCAUUUCAAGACAGCUACUCUUUAAUGCCUUAAAGUACUGUACAGUGUGCGAUACUUCCUCCAAACUACCAAUGGCCCGAAUAUUCAGACAACACAACAGCCAUAUCAUGCUCUCUUUGGGAUGUGGCCUUAGGGUAGGCAGUUUAAAAGUAACUUAUAAGUAAAUAAAUAAAUAAAUAAAUAAAUAAUGCACACAGCAGAGGAAGGAUUACUUGGCCAGGAUCCCGCUGUUAAUUUCUAUCUAGCGGAUGUCAAAGCUGCAUACGAAAGGUCUUCCUCUGCCUCCACUCUGCGAGCUUGGCUGCAGCCUGCAGUGUGGCAUACUGUAGGCAGAUAGUGCACUAAUCAAUUAUUAAUGACUGGUUGACAGUUGCUGUUAAUUCAACAUGCAGCUGUAGAAAUCUGAGUCAAAAUUGUUAUAACAGUGGGUAAAUUCAGUUCUGGAAAUGGUUGUAUUAGUUCCAAAUGGAAGCCCAUCUGCGAACUGUUUGAAAAAGUGUCUGGCAGCAAAACCACUAGAACAAACAACAAAAUGUUUGCACCUUUGGAGGGUAAUGGGCGGAGUAUUGCACAAGCAGACCAAUGACAAAAGCCUGAGAUAUAAAUGACAGGAGCAUAAGUUCCUUUGUCCGACCACAUAUUUGCUAUAUAUACACGGGGGUUCAUAUUUUCCACAAAAGGCUUUGUUGAGAGAAUCGCAAUGGACAUCAAAACAUAUCACACCAUCUCUAUACUGCUCUGUCUUUUCUCAGGAGAGAACUGUGAUCAAAUAGUGUACGGUAAGAUGGGAGAAAACGUAUACCUACAUCUGCGGGAGUCACACAGAAGGUCUUUCCAUGCUAUUAAAUGGAGACGCCAAAAUAUAGUUAUAGCCAAGACAGCACGUUCUAGUAAACCAUUUGCAGAGGUUUUCCCAAAUGGAACACUGAAACUGUACAACAUUGGGAGAAACCACAGUGGGGUUUAUACUGCUGAAGCCUAUGAUGACCAAGGCAUCUUCGUAUUGAAUGAGACGUCUCACUUGGUUGUGAUUGAUCCUCCAGUGGUUGAGCUUGUUGCCUGUAUCCUGGACGUUCCUGUGUUACAUUGUGCGGGGGGAGAUUUUCCUGAUGCCGUGUAUGAAUGGAGGGUCAGCAUCCAGAACCAGGGACGUCUAAAGCUCUCCAAUCAUACAGGGAAAUUUCUGGCUCUAGAAUAUUCACCUGGAAACAUCUCCUGCUUACUGAAAAUGGGAAACUACAGCAGUCAGAGUUCGUCUUAUUCCCUGUCCUGUGCAGGAGAGAGCUGUGGCCAAACAGUGUACGGUAAGAUAGGAGAAAACGUAUACCUACAUCUGCGGGAGUCACACGGAAGGUCUUUCCAUGCUAUUAAAUGGAGACGCCAAAAUAUAGUUAUAGCCAAGACAGCACGUUCUAGUAAACCAUUUGCAGAGGUUUUCCCAAAUGGAACACUGAAACUGUAUAACAUUGGGAGAAACUGCAGUGGGGUUUAUACUGCUGAAGCCCAUGAUGACCAAGGCUUCUUCGUAUUUAAGGAGAGCUCUCACUUGGUUGUGAUUGAUCCUCCGGUGGUUGAACUUGUUGCCUGUAUCCUGGACGUUCCUGUGUUACAUUGUGCGGGGGGAGAUUUUCCUGAUGCCGUGUAUGAAUGGAGGGUCAGCAUCCAGAACCAGGGACGUCUAAAAGUCUCCAGUCAUACAGGGAAAUUUCUGGCUCUAGAAUAUUCACCUGGAAACAUCUCCUGCUUACUGAAAAUGGGAAACUACAGCAGUCAGAGUUCGUCUUAUUCCCUGUCCUGUGCAGGAGAGAGCUGUGGCCAAACGGUGUAUGGUAAGAUAGGAGAAAACGUAUACAUACAUCUGCGGGAGUCACACGGAAGGUCUUUCCCUGAUUUUCAUUGGAGGCACCAAGAUAUGCUUAUAGCCAGGACAGCACGUUCUGUUAACACUUUUGCAGAGGUUUUCAGUAAUGGAACACUGAAACUGCAGAUUGUCGGGAGAAACUGCAGUGGAGUUUAUACUGUUAAUGCCUACGAUGCCAAUGGCACAGUCCUUCUGAAGGAGAGCUCUCACUUGGUUGUGAUUGAUCCUCCUGUGGUUGAGCUUGUUGUCUGUACACCGGACGUUUCUGUGUUACACUGUGCGGGGGAAAACGUUCCUGAUGCCGUGUACACAUGGAGAGUCAGUGUCCAGAACGAGGGACGUCUAAAGGUCUCCAAUCAUACAGGAAAAUUUGUGACUCUGGACUAUUCAACUGGAAACAUCUCCUGCUCUCUGGAAAUUGGAAACUACAGCAGUCAGAGUGCAUCUUAUUCCCUGUCCUGUGCAGGGUCUGCUCGGUUGGUUCCAGAAGCACAGUGGUGUGUCAGUCUCGGGGUCACUGUCAUGCUGGUCCUUCUCUGCUUCAUGGCAUGUGGAAUUUCAAUCGGUGUACAAAUAUGCCGCAAGCAACAGAAUUCAAAUGUGAAGUCUGAAGAACGCGGCCCCCCUCUUGAGAUGACCCAGAAUGACGAGAUUGUUUACAGUGAAGUCAGAGUUGGAAAACGACGUAAAUAACGUCUGCACCCCUUUUAUUAAAUAGCUGUAAAAUGUUACUUCAGAAAACGACAAAGUAUUUUAUUUUCAUAACAACUGACAGUAUUUCUAUGCCUUUGAUAUUUUCAAGAGAAAGGGACUUUUUUGUGUCCCUUUGACGUAUAUCCUUGUGUAUUUGCGUGUAAAAAUUACAUACGUGUUACAUGUUUGCUCUUGCCUUUUCUGGAAUAAACAUGGGGUAAAUGGC